GCCUAUGAAGUGAGACGGUGCAGAGGAAAAGAUAACGGUAUUCAUUCACCCCUGGCACAGGGACGUCCUACGCGAAAAGUGCUGCAGGCUCCCUGAUGGCAGCACGGACAGCAGCCGGUUGUUGCUGGAAUCCCAUGCGAUCUUCCUGGCUAUGGAUCAUUUCAUGUAUAUGUCCUGUUGGUUGAGUAGACCAUCCUCCCAAGGACCAACUGGUCCCAUCAAAUGCAGAUCCUCAUCCAGGUCAUCUUCCCGAGCACCCAGUACGUCACCACGUCAUCGCCUGGCUCCUGUGGUCACAUUUAUGGGAUUUUAGGACUUCCAUUGGCCCAGGGUGUGGCUGAGGGAUUCCUCGAAGGAAGUGCUAGAAGGCUGCUGCCCCCGCGACCUGGCCCCGGACAAAGCGGAUGAAGAUGGAUGGAUGGAUGGACAAUUUGAUUAUUUCUAAUAAGAAGAGUGAAGAAAUUUCUAACUGAUCCAUGUCAUGUUGUGUACUUUUCUGGAUUGUAUACUUAUUGGUCUAAGAAAGAUACAGAUUAUGUUUAUAUGAAACAUGUGUAUACUUACUGCAUUUAAUGUAUUUAUCCAUAUAUAGUACAUAUUAUAGAAGGUAACACCUGCAUAUGUGUAAAGAAAUGGCUUUGAUUUUGCCACCUAAUCUGAUUUCCAUGCCACCCUCAUGCAACUCUAAGAAAACGUUUCUACAUCUGACCCUGCCUGGUUCUGCCAGAGGUUUCUUCCUAUUAAAAGGAGUUUUUCUUCCUGCUGUUGCCAGGUGAUUGCUUAUAGGGGGUUGUGUUAUUUUGGGGGAGUUCUCUUCACUAUUUUAGGGUUUUUACUUUACUA